AACACCCUCUUAAUCCUCCGAUUUCAAGCGCCUCCUCUGUUGCCUCAUCUUUCUUCUGCUUUUCUCAUCUUUCUUCAGCGCCUCCUCUAUUGCAAAAUGAAAGAGAUAUGAAAGAAAACUUCAGAUCUAUCAAUCAAUUGGAUACCUUCAGAGAAGACACAAUUGUCGCCGGCUGCUGUCCCUCUUUCUGCUCUACUUUGUGUUUGAAUCAGUCUCAAGACUAUAUUGGUGGACUUAUCUUUGCUCUCUGUUGCUGAAGUAGAGUAGCUGAAUAGUUACCAUUUACAAGUUUGGAAGAAGGUAUGCCGAAGCCCAAGCGUUGCGAGAACUUCCAGAACACCUUUCAGUCAGCACCUACAUUUCUCCAAUGAGGCGGCAAAAGAGAUGUGAAAAAAUUGAACUAGCAUUGACCCAAAGCACCGUGGAUGAGUCUGAAAUUUCGCCAAAUGAUGUUGUUGGUACUUGGUAAGGUGUUGGGAAAAGAGCACUCUGGAAGGGUAAGGGGCUUAGGAUUAGGAGUUGUUCCUAGCAGAGCUUUUAGGCAAACAAGACCUCGCUAUAGUGAUUUGAAUGCUUCAAGUUAUAAUAAUGGUUCAUGUUCUUCCCAAUGCCAAGAGAAGUACAAUCAAAUGUUGAAUGCUCACAAUCAAAGCCAGGAGAACUACAGAGAAAUGAUGAAUGUUAACACUCAAAUGAUGAAUGCUAACACUCAAAUGAUGAAUGCUUUUAAGGCGUAUAUGAUAAUGAAAGAAGGGAAGAUACCUGAAGAAUUUGCAGGGAUAUUU